GCCAGGCAAUAUUCAGCAAGGUGGACCUUGGGUCCUACUGAACACCCUGUUCUUGUGCAAGAUGUUAAAAAUUUGGACUUCCCUCUGGGGAAGUGGGUUGCAGUUGGCCAAGCCUCUUCUACAGAGACAGGCAAGCCUCAGUGCUGAAUGAAGAAAACCAAACUUUACUAAAAUAAUAAGCUUCAUACAUAAAUGCAUGACAAAAAGAACACCUAUUAUAACAAUGUUUGCUGCACUGGUUCUGAAUGAAAGAUACAGGUAAGAUUUACACCCAGUUUUACCCAGGCUGCACUGACUAAGGAGCAGCUUUCCUGAGAAAUUCAUAGGGGAGGUUUUCAGGAUAUUUUUUUUGUGUCCCCCAGUUGCAUUUUAAUGAGAUCAUUGCCCCUUGGCUGCUAGCAUCUGUAUUCUUCAGCUGCUAUGAGAUCUCAGCAAAGGCCGAUACCAGGCUCAGUUUUGAAAGCGACAGCGAGCUGUUUGGAACAGAUGCCUUUCCGAGCUUCCGGCACAGAAGGUAACGGCCAUGCAUGCUACUUCCACCCUGCAUUUGUUUCCUUUGCUGAGAGAACAUCCUCCCACAAGAGUGUGGAUCAAUAACUCCCUGAGAAUUCAGCCCGGUUGGUGCUUAGGAUCCACCUGAGAUAUUACACAAGAAACUGCUCGAUCUGUUAUGAAAGAAAACUUCAUCUGACAUCUCUGAACAGACAGGAGAACAAUUGUUUCUGGCUAAGAUCAAGUUUUACUGAAGAGUUUAAUCAGACCCGGUAUUGCUGAAACAGAAAGCAGACAGGAGUGACGAGAGCAGGCCAAGGAACAUGCUACACAAAAGAACUUGUUGCAAAUAGGUUUCCUCUGCCCCUCAUCACUCAAACUUUAAAACCAAAGAGCAAAGACAAUCUUUAAUGUUCUCAUUUCUCUCUCUAGUAACCUCAUUAGUGCUUGAAUGAAGAAUGUGAGACACUCUUUGUUGUGGCAUCUGUUCUAGCUGGUUUUAACCAAUGAGUCUA